CAUUGCAGCACAAGCUUCAGGAGGUUUUAUAACUCUGUGAGUUUGAGAAUCUGAACAACAGCAACCAUGAGCUUCAUCACCAUCUUCAUCUGGAUCUUCACUAGCUACUGUUUCACAGAAUCAGCAGCUGGAGUGACAGUCACUCAGACGCCUGCAGUGAAACCUGUUCAACCAGGAGACAAAGUUACCAUGUCCUGUAAAACCAGUCCUGAAGUUUACCAGGGUUGGAGUGUUCAGCCUUUACACUGGUACUUACAGAAACCUGGAGAAGCUCCUAAACUCCUGAUUUAUUAUGCUAACACUCUCCAGUCAGGAACUCCAUCUAGAUUCAGUGGCAGUGGAUCUAACAGUGAUUUCACUCUGACCAUCAGUGGAGUCCAGACUGAAGAUGCUGGACAUUAUUACUGUCAGAGUUUCCACAGUGGUUAUGUGUUCACACAGUGAUAAAGAGUGGUACAAAAACCUCGGUCAGUCAGAGUCACAGUGACUGAACUGAUGCUGCAGCUGCUCAAAGGAGGAUCUGAAACUCUGUUGUUUUUGCUCUUUCUCCUCAUAUUCUGACUCUCUGUAGGGAGAAGAGAAAUGCUGGAAACUGGACUGAUUGAAUCUGCACAGCUUUGAGAUUUUGAUUUGAUUCGUUGUGCUCUUAUAGAUCCGUCACAUGAUGGAGAUUGACGCUCAACAUCUGUCUCACAAACACAUGCAGCUGUUUUCAGUCACGCAGCUACAGCUGCUAUAAUGAAUGAUGAAGGACAAAACUCUAGGCUACUUAAAUUCAACACAGAAACUCACAGUUCAAAACAUAUUUCAUUUCAUGAAUGAUAUGUAAACAUUGUUUCACAGCUUUUC